AGGAUUCAAUGUGGACAAGGUAAGUUGCAGAAGACUGUAGACCUCCAGAUGAAGGUGUCAAGAACUCAGUUGUGUGGUUGAGUUUGGAGUUCAAGAGGAAGCAUUUGGAGUAGAAAAAUCAGUAUGGGAUUUGUCAGUACAUAGUUGAUACUAAAAGCCUUAUCGCCAUAUUUUCACAUGCAUUACUUCAGCUGUAUUUAUUGCAGUGGGUAGAACAACUAUUUGUCCCACUUCUAAGUAAGAAAUCACAAAAGAAGCUUUUAAGCAUUUUCCAUUACGCUUAUUAACAUUUUAAGACUUUGCAUCGAAUAGUACAUGAUUUUAGAUCAGCGAGAAAGAUUGCAGACAUUUUUAUGGUCUUUUGAAUCCUGCUGGCUUCAUGCUGUUAUUAGCUAGUAUCUUAUGAUAUAGCACAGUCAGGUGAGGGCCAUUGUUAGUGGUAGUGGGUGCAAAUUAGUAUUCAUCCAACGGCGUAGUAAUUUUGCUGAAAAAGAUAGUUCUGGAAACAAAACAGUCGCUGCCACUUUUUCUCUUAUUCCCUUAGGCUUAUCCUAUUAUUGCACUCUAUCCACAAAAACUUCUUCUUUUUUUGGGGGGGGUGGAUUUUAAUUUAUUUUAGUGGUAGGGUUACAGACAGUAAGAGGGAGACAGAGAGAUCUUCCAUCCACUGGUUCACUCCUCAAAUGGCCGCAGUGGCCGAAGCUGAGUCUAUCCAAAGCCAGGAGCCAGAAGCUCUUCCAUGUCUCCCACAUGGGCGCAGGGGCCCAAGCACUUGGGCCAUCUUCCACUGCUUUCCCAGGCAUAGCAGAGAGCUGGAUCACAAGAGGAGCUGCCGGGACUAGAACUGGCGCCCAUAUGGGAUGCUGGCACUGCAGGCGGAGGAUUAACCUACUGUGCCACAGCUCCAGCCCCCAUAAUAGCUUCUUAAGCUAAGGGUCUAUUUUGCAAUAACUAGCUUGGUUAACCCUAGAUAACAUCAUCCAUAAAUCCACUGUCACUGACACCAUGAACUGCCAUCCAUCAUGGCAAUAUGCAAAAAAGGAGAGGUGUCGUCUUCAAUCCCUGGAGAAGUUUGUUUUCACUUAAGAUACUCUCCUUUACUAACAAGAAAUGUGACAUGACUCAGGCAUGAAGGUGCCCACGCCUGUCCAUGAGUUACAGAUCACAGGAACUUACCUUUCUCUAAAUGGUUUUUUUUUGGACAGGCAGAGUGGACAGUGAGAGAGAGAGAGACAGAGAGAAAGGUCUUCCUUUUCCGUUGGUUCACUCCCCAAUGGCCACUGCAGCUGGCGCGCUAUGGCCGGCGCACCGCGCUGAUCCACAGCCAAGAGCCAGGUGCUUCUCCUGGUCUCCCAUGUGGGUGCAGGGCCCAAGGACCUGGGCCAUCCUCCACUGCACUCCCGGGCCACAGCAGAGAGCUGGACUGGAAGAGGAGCAACUGGGACAGAAUCCGGUGCCCCGACCGGGACUAGAACCCAGUGUGCCGGCGCUGCAGGCAGAGGAUUAGCCUGUUGAGCCGCGGCGCCAGCCACCUUUCUCUAACUUUUUAGAAAAAAAUUAACAUAAAUAGAAAUUUCAAUGUGUUCUUCCUGCCUCUCCCCACCCCACUCUGUGCCUCCUCCCUUGCCCUCAACAUCAGCUCUCUGCUUUGGUCCGGUCCUCUUACUGUCAAAGAGAGUGACAAAUGAGGCCAUGUGAGAGUCACAAUGGAGACUGGGCCUAGAAGUGAAAUAAACAGAAUGCCCAUUAACACCUCAUUUAUCGCACACCACAGUGACACAGAAUGAAAGACCAAGCUUCAAACAGAGAACACAGAGUAGCCGAAGUGCCCUUGUCAAACUGUAAAGGCUUGUCUGUAAACUAUUUAGAAAAUUAAGCUGUGCUCAUUUUCUCCCCUGAGGCCAUGGGUAUGAAGCUGUUUUUGUAGGCUGGCCAAAAUUUAACUGGAAAAAUCAUGGCUUUUGCAACUCUGUGUGGCAUCCGCAGCAAAAUCGGCUAUUCCCAAUGGAUUGAGAACUUCUUUCCUUAGCUCAGUACUUGAACUUGAACUUCAUUCCAAAUGGCUCAGUACACCUAACAUUUUAUUUAGAAAUUGAGUGAUAUUUAUUUUACACUCUAUCAGAAACUGAAAACUUGUUUUAUUCAACCACAAAAUAAGCAAAUUUUGUUUACUUUCUCUGAGUAACUAAGAAGUUUUUUUAAGAUUUAUUUAUUUGAAAAGCAAAGUUAGAGAGAGACAGAGACAGAGACAAUCUUCCAUGGGCUGGUUCACUCUCCAAAUGGCUACAAUGGCUGGGGCUGGGGCUUGGCCAGGCCAAAGCCAGAAGAGCCUGGAACUCCAUCUGGAUCCCCCACGUGGGUAUAGGAGCCCACAUAUUUGGGUCAUCUCCUGCUGCUUUCCUAGUGCAUUAGCAGGGAGCUGGAUUGGAAGUGGAGCAGCCAGGACUCGGGACAUGAACUAGGACUCAUGUGGUGUCACAGGCAAAGGCUUAACCCACUGCACCACAAUGCUGGCCUCAAAACACCUUUUUCAACAGUAAGCCUGGUUUUUUAAAGAUUUAUUUUUAUUUAUUUGAAAGUCAGAGUUACGGAGAGAGGCAGAGACAGAGAGAGAGGACUUCCAUCCACUGGUCCACUCCCCAGAUGGCUGCAACGGCCAGAGCUGCGCCGAUCCGAAGCCAGGAGCCAGGAGCUUCUUCCAGCUCUCCCACGUGGGUGCAGGGACCCAAGCACUUGGACCAUCCUCCACUGCUUUCCCAGGCCAUAGCAGAGAGCUGGAUCGGAAAUGGAGCAGCCAGGACUAGAACUGGCGCCCAUAUGUGAUGCCGGUGCUUCAGGCCAGGGCUUUAACCCACUGUGCCACAGUGCCAGCCCCUACAGUAAGCCUAAUAGUAAAGCUGGUGGUGAGAAUGUGAAUGGCUUUCCUCAGUGACCUAACUCCAAAUUACUUGACUGCUAUGCAGUACAGUCAGGGUUCCCAAAUUCAGGAUCACACUCCCAGCGCCUCCUUUUCUUCUGUAAUUCACAGGAUUACAUUCUCCUCUUGCUCACAGAAACCCAAACCAGAGCGCAUUGAACAUAGCAGCUACUAUUCAAUCAUUGGAAGCGCAUUAGCAGGCACGCACCCCAAACUAAUCCAACACCAGUCACACGUGUCUGGCAGAACUGUCUCUGUAAAGCAGAAUUAGCUGGUUGCACUCUGAGGAGCAACACUGUACAGAAAUGGCUCAAGUUCAACCACUAACCAUGACACUGUGUAGCCAAGCUGCUUGUAACUAGGGCUUCCAUGGACUUAUGGGACAACCAACAGCAAAGCUAAGGCAGAAUUUUUAUAAAAGCGAGGCAGAAAAAGGGUGAGAAAUGAUCUAGGUAUUUUUCCAAGAAGCAAAGACAUAGUUGACUUAGCAGAGAUUCCCAGGAGCUGGCGAUGAUGUGCAGUGUGUUAAGGUGCCACCUGGGGUUGCCAGCAUCCCAUAGCAGAGCGCUGGUUUGAGUCCUGGCUGCUCUGUUUCCGACCCAGCUCUCUGUUCAUGUGCCUGGAAAAGCAGCAAAGGAUGGCUCAGGUGCUUGGGCACCUACCGCCCACAUGGGGGACCUGAAUGGAGUUCAAGGGUUCGGCUUCAGUCUAACCCAGCUCCAGCCAUUGUGGUCAUUAGGGAGUGAACCAGUGGAUAGGAGCACCCUUUCUCUAUCUCUUUACUUUUCAAAUGAAUAAAAUAAACCUUAAAAAAAGGUCUCCCUGAAGAUGGAGGAGGUAUCCAGAAUUCACUCUAAGGAGCUGGAGGACUUCAUGCUUUCGCCUCCCACUGCAAUACCACCUCCUGCAAGUCCUGUCAGUUCUUCAGUCCUGGGAGAAAGGGAGCUUUAUCACCCCUACCCUCACCCUUGGUGGGCUUCACAAGCCAAGUAACAGACUCUACCUUUGGAAAGAACGGGGGAAACGCUGUGCAGUCUGACCAAGUGGCUAAUCUAGCUGUGUGUCUUGAAUGUGUUUUGAAAAUAAGCUCAGGCAGCUUGUUAUACCUCUGGGCCAGAGCUCUUUCAUCUGAUUAUCCAGAUCUGCUCUCCAUCCUCCCCGCCCUCGGAUGCUGACCUGUGUGUAUGGACUCAGGAACAUACACCCUUGCUCUCGGGCUGGGGGCGGGGCACCUUAGAAAGAGAAAGGAGAAUGGGAAUACGAUCAAACAGGGUUAAUUCCCUGCUCCCUCUAUUAGCCUGGCUGUGUCCUCCAAAUCACUGCUCCUUGGGGUUGCAGUAACCACUUCCUUUGUACUUCCUCUGAUUCUAGGGAUGGGCUGGGAAAGGCCUAGCUUCUGUAAGUACCAGGUCACUGCACUCGCCUUGUUGGUUUCCUUAAACUCACAGCUUUAUAAACAGUGUCUCACAAGCCCUCCUGAAAAUUCAGGUUCAGCAUUUACUGUCUUCACCGUUGGGCCCCUGCUUGACAAACAAAUUCUCUUAAAGGAAUGCUGCAGAACUGACAGUCUGGGCGCUAGCAGGCAGCUGCAGAGGGGCAGAAGUCUUGCAGAAUACUAGGACUGACUUAGAAAGUCAAGUUUUCUCAUGGUUCCUGGAUCAUGGAGAAAAUGAACAAUCCCUCCAAUAAGAUGGCCCUCUAACUCCAGGACACAUGGCCCUGAUUUUGCAUGAAAUGCUGCAGAGAAUGCAUGAGAGCCCAAAUGGCUGUCAGGACUGUCUGCAUUUCCCACCAUGCUGAUGACGGAGCAUGCAUCACCAGGGAUGGGUGCUCCUGCCUCUCCGUGGUGUGAAUUUAUGGCUGACAAGUGACUGUCCAGCCAGGGACUGCAUUUCCCAGCCCCGAUGCACCAGGUCAAGGUCAGGUGCAUGAGUUCUAACCGCAGCAGUAUGAGUAGAAGUGAUACAGGCUACGUCACAGCCAUCUGCACACUGUCACCAGAGAGCCCAGGAACAGAACAAGAUGCUACACUCAGUAAGGAGAUUCCUUACGUCAGUUCAGGAACACAGAUGUGUCCUCUCCUCCUUCAAGUCCCACCGCACACAUUCCCCUUAGACAUCCCUGGGUCGCCUCCCUAAACAACAGCUGUCGUGUGCCUGUUUAGCAAUCAAACUCAAAUGCCUAGGAUAUCACAAAAUCUUUCAUGAACACAAAACCUCACUUUCUAAAUUUUGUGUGUGUGUGUGCAUGUGUGUGUGUGUGUGUGUGUAUUUGAGAGGCAGAGAAACAGAGACAGAGGAAGAGAGCGUGGCCCAUCCACUGGUUCACUCCCCAAAGUGCUUUCAAUGGCUAGGGCUGAGCCAGACCAAAGCCUGGGCUUGGGAACUCAAUCCAGGUCUCCAUCAGGAUUGGCAAGAACUCAACACCUGAGCCAUCACCUACUGCCUACCAGGGUUCACACCAUCAAUUGGGAAUCAAAGCCAGGAUUGGAACCCAGGUUCUCGGACACGGGACAUGAGGGUCCCAGUUGGCAGCCUGACUGCCAAGCCAUGUACUUGCCCCAAAAUCUCAUUUUUAAAAGAGGAAGAAUUAUCUCCAUUUAAUAGGACUUCAGUUGAAGAGAGGCAAGUGACUAGUCCAAGAUUUGAAGCCACAUUUCCUGAUUUCAGCGGCAGCAGUGGUGGUAUUUUUUCAUAGUUCCUUCUUCUGGACAGUGGUAGCCAAUGGCAUCCCCAGGCAUUCCAAAAAAAAAAAAAAUACCUGAGGUUAGCCAGCUGUAGCCCACCUGUCUGUAAGGAACAGCCUACUUGAGCCAAAAGGAAAAAAUAAUAAUUUCUCCAAAUUGUUGAUCUACUCGAAUGCCUAGGCCAUGAGGGUCUGGCCAUCUGUCUACCAUUCUCCUUGCAUAACUGACCACUGCCAGGUGUCAUGCCAGCUGGCAUGGAUUAAUUACUUAGUAUAAAUCAAGUCCACUAUAAUUAAUCAUGCAAACUUGAGCCCUUUAUAUCCACUGCUGCUAGACACAAAGCAUACACCUAGGACACUAUGACGGCUUAGUGACCGAAAUGAAGAUAGGAAGAAGGCCUUGAAUGCACUUGGUUUGUGUUGAAUCAAGUCCAAUGCUCAUUUGCCCAGCAGUGACCCUCUCCACUCACUUUUGCAAUCCAUGAAAAAUUCAUGUGGCUUGAGCACCUAUAGAUUUCUGAUCUUGUGACCCACUACAGAAAACCCUCAACCAAACGCUCUGUGAACCAUCCCCUUUGCUUGCUUCCACCUACCAGCUCAGUACAUUCCACACCCACUGGCACAAGACACAGGAGGGCAUUGCUAAGGUUACCAUGGCAGCCCUCCAUUGACCCCCCCUACCCAGGGCUCCCAGGGGACAUUCGCCCACACCAUCCUCUCUA